rnacentral:rRNA from 1 species
GAUGAACGCUGGCGGCGUGCUUAACACAUGCAAGUCGAGCGGGGUGAUGGUGCUUGCACUAUCACUUAGCGGCGGACGGGUGAGUAAUGCUUAGGAAUCUGCCUAUUAGUGGGGGACAACAUCUCGAAAGGGAUGCUAAUACCGCAUACGUCCUACGGGAGAAAGCAGGGGAUCACUUGUGACCUUGCGCUAAUAGAUGAGCCUAAGUCGGAUUAGCUAGUUGGUGGGGUAAAGGCCUACCAAGGCGACGAUCUGUAGCGGGUCUGAGAGGAUGAUCCGCCACACUGGGACUGAGACACGGCCCAGACUCCUACGGGAGGCAGCAGUGGGGAAUAUUGGACAAUGGGGGGAACCCUGAUCCAGCCAUGCCGCGUGUGUGAAGAAGGCCUUAUGGUUGUAAAGCACUUUAAGCGAGGAGGAGGCUCUUUUGGUUAAUACCCAAGAUGAGUGGACGUUACUCGCAGAAUAAGCACCGGCUAACUCUGUGCCAGCAGCCGCCGCGG